rnacentral:rRNA from 1 species
GACGAACGCUGGCGGCGUGCUUAACACAUGCAAGUCGAGCGGAAAGGCUCCUUCGGGGGUACUCGAGCGGCGAACGGGUGAGUAACACGUGAGUAACCUGCCUUCAGCUUUGGGAUAACCCUCGGAAACGGGGGCUAAUACCGGAUAUUCAUUCCUGCGGGCAUCUGUGGGGGUGGAAAGUUUUUUCGGCUGGGGAUGGGCUCGCGGCCUAUCAGCUUGUUGGUGGGGUAAUGGCCUACCAAGGCGGCGACGGGUAGCCGGCCUGAGAGGGCGACCGGCCACACUGGGACUGAGACACGGCCCAGACUCCUACGGGAGGCAGCAGUGGGGAAUAUUGCACAAUGGGCGGAAGCCUGAUGCAGCGACGCCGCGUGAGGGAUGACGGCCUUCGGGUUGUAAACCUCUUUCGACCCUGACGAAGCGUGAGUGACGGUAGGGGGAGAAGAAGCACCGGCCAACUACGUGCCAGCAGCCGCGGUAAGACGUAGGGUGCGAGCGUUGUCCGGAUUUAUUGGGCGUAAAGAGCUCGUAGGCGGCUCGUCGCGUCGACCGUGAAAACCCGCGGCUUAACUGCGGGCUUGCGGUUGAUACGGGCGGGCUAGAGUUCGGUAGGGGAGACUGGAAUUCCUGGUGUAGCGGUGAAAUGCGCAGAUAUCAGGAGGAACACCGGUGGCGAAGGCGGGUCUCUGGGCCGAUACUGACGCUGAGGAGCGAAAGCGUGGGGAGCGAACAGGAUUAGAUACCCUGGUAGUCCACGCUGUAAACGUUGGGCGCUAGGUGUGGGGGGCCUCUCCGG